UGGUUCUAAUGAUAGCUUAGUUCCUAUUCUGUCUUGGGGCAGUACAAAACUAGGAUAUUCUCCUAUGGCUAAGUUAGUAAGUUUGAUUACUUAAUGUACCAAAGUUGGCUAGUAAACAUUUUAGUUUGAGGUUUAUUUUUUGGGUCUCGUGUUUUAGGAUAGUUGCUUUUAAAAUUCAGUUAAGUUGGCUUCUGAAUAGGGAUAAGUUUGCUUACUUAAUCUACCUAAGUCGGCUAGUAAAAAAUUUAACUUGAGGUUUAAUCUUUAUGUCUCAUCUUCUAGGAUAAUUGGUUAUUCUUUUGUGUUUUUUUCCUGGGCAAAGCUUUGUUCUUACUGAUUAAGGGAAGUUGCAAGCUUCAGUCGUGUGCGUGGAUCCAUUGAGAGUUGGAGAAGGAAGAAGCGCUAGAUUUGUUGGUUGCAGAACAAGAAAGCUGGGCGAGAGGGAGAUGGGUAUAGUGGUAGUUGUUGGGUGACGGAAGAGGGGGCGCACUUCCCGCCCAACUAAAAGGUGUCGGUGCCACCAAAGGAGACGUUCUUUUUGUUGGAAUGACGAGGACUGAAGCCUUCGUAUCUUUGAAGAUGCCACCGAUUUUACAAUGAGACCCAGGAGCAACUCACUUGCCAGCAGGACACAUACCCCAGUAUAGUCAACGAAAUCAAUGAAGAAUUUGCCACCGGAAAUUAUGUUUGCCUGAAUAUAGAGAUUUUCUGUAAUUUUUGUACUAAGUUUAUCCGUGCUUUUUGUUGAAUGAAAGCUGGGAUUUCUCCUGAUGUAUCUAGGUUGGUCCAGAUUUGUUA